UUGGAGGGCAAGUCUGGUGCCAGCAGCCGCGGUAAUUCCAGCUCCAAUAGCGUAUAUUAAAGUUGUUGCAGUUAAAAAGCUCGUAGUUGAAUUUCGGGAUCAAUGUUUCGGUCAUGCCGUUGGUAUGUACUGAUAUUAUUGAUUUCUCACCUUCUAAAGAACCGUAAUGCCAUUAAUUUGGUGUCACGGGGAAUUAGGACUGUUACCUUGAAAAAAUUAGAGUGUUUAAAGCAGGCUCACGCUUGAAUACAUUAGCAUGGAAUAAUGAAAUAGGACAUCCGAUUCUAUUUUGUUGGUUUCUAGGAUCGAUGUAAUGAUUAAUAGGGAUAGUUGGGGGCAUUAGUAUUCAAUUGUCAGAGGUGAAAUUCUUGGAUUUAUUGAAGACUAACUACUGCGAAAGCAUUUGCCAAGGAUGUUUUCACUAAUCAAGAACGAAAGUUAGGGGAUCGAAGACGAUCAGAUACCGUCGUAGUCUUAACCAUAAACUAUGCCGACUAGGGAUCGGAUGAUGUUAAUUUUUUAAUGACUCAUUCGGCGCCUUACGGGAAAC
rnacentral:rRNA from 1 species